GCAUAUUGCGGCUACGGGUUUACUCGUGGCCACGUCUAACCGAGACUCG
rnacentral:rRNA from 1 species